rnacentral:lncRNA from 1 species
AAGAGGCCCCUCUCCAUCGUGAGGAUGUAACAACAAUGACAUCACCGUCAGAAUGAUCACAGUCAGCGUUUAGUGAGUGUUUACUACGUGCCAAGAGCUGUCCUGGGGCUUUGCAUACGUUCUGUCCUCUCCUCAUAAUAACCGUGAGAAUCUCACAAAGUCACCAAGUUGCCCAGGCCGGGCUAGAACUUGUGAGCCUCCUGCCUGAGGCCUUUCCAGAGUGCUUUCCAACGUGCUGGGGUUACAAGUGGGCACCACUGUGCUCAGGUUUAGAAGUUUCAGUCCAUGAUUGGUUGACCUGGUUGCUUUGGGCCUGGUGAGAGGCACCACAUCACGGCAGGUAAGUGUGGUACAGCAAAGCUGCUCACUUCAUGGUCAGGACAAAAGAAGAAAAGAGGAAGGGACUGGACUUCCACAAUCCCCUCUGAGACCAUGCCCCCAAAGACCUAAAGACCUCCCAUUACACCCGACCUUUCAAGGUUUCCAACACCUCCAAGAGUGCCAAGCUGGGGACCACAUCUUUACCACAUAGACCUCUGGGUCCCAUUCCAGAUCCCAACAGUAUCAGGCAGCAUAAAUAAAAAUUUCAGUAGAGCCAGGGAUUUAGCUCAGUGGCACUGUGCCUGCCUCACAAAUGCAAGAUCCUUGAGUUCAAUACCCGAUAUAUAUAUUUCAAUAGGGCUGGGGAUUUAGCUCAGUGGUUCUGGCACCUGCCUCGCAAGUGCAAGGUCCCGAGUUUGAUCCCUGGUACCAAAAAAACUCCAACAACACACAUAUAUAUAUUUCAAUAGAAAGGUUGUAAAAUAAAGCUGAGGGAAUGUCCAAAAUGGUGAAGCAAUUGGACAGAUGGAAAAUAUACAAGCAAAAAUAAAACAAGUUAGAGUUCCAAAUUCCAGA